ACUCCUACGGGACGCAGCAGUUGGGAAUCUUGGACAAUGGGGGAAACCCUGAUCCAGCCAUGCCGCGUGAGUGAUGAAGGCCUUAGGGUUGUAAAGCUCUUUUAUCCGGGAAGAUAAUGACUGUACCGGAAGAAUAAGCUCCGGCUAACUUCGUGCCAGCAGCCGCGGUAAUACGAAGGGGGCUAGCGUUGUUCGGAAUUACUGGGCGUAAAGCGCGCGCAGGCGGCUUUCCAAGUCAGUGGUGAAAGCCCGGAGCUCAACUCCGGAACUGCCAUUGAAACUGUGAAGCUAGAGGACGGGAGAGGUGAGUGGAAUUCCCAGUGUAGAGGUGAAAUUCGUAGAUAUUGGGAAGAACACCGGUGGCGAAGGCGGCUCACUGGCCCGUUUCUGACGCUCAGGCGCGACAGCGUGGGGAUCAAACAGGAUUAGAUACCCUGGUAGUCCACGCCGUAAACUAUGAACGCUAGCCGUUGGAUAGCUUGCUAUUCAGUGGCGCAGCUAACGCAUUAAGCGUUCCGCCUGGGGAGUACGGCCGCAAGGUUGAAACUCAAAUGAAUUGACGG
rnacentral:rRNA from 1 species